GACGAACGCUGGCGGCGUGCUUAACACAUGCAAGUCGAACGGAAAGGCCCUGCUUUUGUGGGGUGCUCGAGUGGCGAACGGGUGAGUAACACGUGAGUAACCUGCCCUUGACUUUGGGAUAACUUCAGGAAACUGCGGCUAAUACCGGAUAGGAGCUCCUGCUGCAUGGGGGGGGUUGGAAAGUUUCGGCGGUUGGGGAUGGACUCGCGGCUUAUCAGCUUGUUGGUGGGGUAGUGGCUUACCAAGGCUUUGACGGGUAGCCGGCCUGAGAGGGUGACCGGCCACAUUGGGACUGAGAUACGGCCCAGACUCCUACGGGAGGCAGCAGUGGGGAAUCUUGCACAAUGGGCGGAAGCCUGAUGCAGCAACGCCGCGUGCGGGAUGACGGCCUUCGGGUUGUAAACCGCUUUCGCCUGUGACGAAGCGUGAGUGACGGUAAUGGGUAAAGAAGCACCGGCUAACUACGUG
rnacentral:rRNA from 1 species